UACGUAGGGGGCGAGCGUUGUCCGGAUUCAUUGGGCGUAAAGCGCGCGUAGGCGGCUCCGCAAGUCGGCCGUGAAAUCUCCGGGCUCAACUCGGAGGGGUCGGGCGAGACUGCGGGGCUCGAGGUGGGCAGAGGGCAGUGGAAUUCCGGGUGUAGUGGUGGAAUGCGUAGAGAUCCGGAGGAACACCGGUGGCGAAGGCGGCUGCCUGGGCCUGGCCUGACGCUGAGGCGCGAAAGCGUGGGGAGCGAUCCGG
rnacentral:rRNA from 1 species